rnacentral:rRNA from 1 species
UGAGGAAUAUUGGUCAAUGGCCGAGAGGCUGAACCAGCCAAGUCGCGUGAGGGAAGAAUGUCCUAUGGAUUGUAAACCUCUUUUGUCAGGGAGCAAAGUCACCCACGUGUGGGUGUUGGAGAGUACCUGAAGAAAAAGCAUCGGCUAACUCCGUGCCAGCAGCCGCGGUAAUACGGAGGAUGCGAGCGUUAUCCGGAUUUAUUGGGUUUAAAGGGUGCGUAGGCGGGUUAUCAAGUCAGCGGUAAAAUCGUGGAGCUCAACUCCAUCCAGCCGUUGAAACUGAUGAUCUUGAGUGGGCGAGAAGUAUGCGGAAUGCGUGGUGUAGCGGUGAAAUGCAUAGAUAUCACGCAGAACUCCGAUUGCGAAGGCAGCAUACCGGCGCCCGACUGACGCUGAAGCACGAAAGCGUGGGUAUCGAACAGG